rnacentral:rRNA from 1 species
AUUGAACGCUGGCGGCAGGCUUAACACAUGCAAGUCGAGCGGCGAGAGGUAGCUUGCUACUGAUCUUAGCGGCGGACGGGUGAGUAAUGCUUAGGAAUCUGCCUAUUAGUGGGGGACAACAUUUCGAAAGGAAUGCUAAUACCGCAUACGUCCUACGGGAGAAAGCAGGGGAUCUUCGGACCUCCCGCUAAUAGAUGAGCCUAAGGCGGAUUAGCUAGUUGGUGGGGUAAAGGCCUACCAAGGCGACGAUCUGUAGCGGGUCGGAGAGGAUGAUCCGCCAAACUGGGACUGGGACACGGCCCAGACUCCUACGGGGGGCAGCAGUGGGGAAUAUUGGACAAUGGGCGCAAGCCUGAUCCAGCCAUGCCGCGUGUGUGAAGAAGGCCUUAUGGUUGUAAAGCACUUUAAGCGAGGAGGAGGAUACUUUAGAUAAUAACUAGAGAUAGUGGACGUUACUCGCAGAAUAAGCACCGGCUAACUCCGUGCCAGCCGCCGCGGUAAGAC